rnacentral:rRNA from 1 species
GACGAACGCUGGCGGCGUGCUUAACACAUGCAAGUCGAACGGAAAGGCCCUGCUUUUGUGGGGUGCUCGAGUGGCGAACGGGUGAGUAACACGUGAGUAACCUGCCCUUGACUUUGGGAUAACUUCAGGAAACUGGGGCUAAUACCGGAUAGGAGCUCCUGCUGCAUGGUGGGGGUUGGAAAGUUUCGGCGGUUGGGGAUGGACUCGCGGCUUAUCAGCUUGUUGGUGGGGUAGUGGCUUACCAAGGCUUUGACGGGUAGCCGGCCUGAGAGGGUGACCGGCCACAAUGGGAAUGAGAUACGGCCCAGAAUCCUAAGGGAGGCAGGAGUGGGGAAUAUUGCACAAUGGGCGGAAGCCUGAUGCAGCAACGCCGCGUGCGGGAUGACGGCCUUCGGGUUGUAAACCGCUUUCGCCUGUGACGAAGCGUGAGUGACGGUAAUGGGUAAAGAAGCACCGGCUAACUACGUG